AAACUUUCAACAACGGAUCUCUUGGUUCUGGCAUCGAUGAAGAACGCAGCGAAAUGCGAUAAGUAAUGUGAAUUGCAGAAUUCAGUGAAUCAUCGGAUCUUUGAACGCACAUUGCGCCCGCCAGUAUUCUGGCGGGCAUGCCUGUCCGAGCGUCAUUU
rnacentral:rRNA from 1 species